UUUUUGUUCUUGUGUUUAGUGUUCACAUUUGCCAAUUCUUAUAAAUACUUGUAAGUGUAUGUAUGCUCAGUGAGCAUAAGACAUUGUACCAAUUGAUUCCUGCAGGAUCAGGUGAACACUGAUGUGUGUUUAAAUCAAGCAAUAUUGCUGUAAUGUGCCAUCCCCUCACUUUCAGUAGCAGUUUCUGUGCUGUAAGAUUCCAACCUGUAGUCACUGAUGCUCACCAGGCAAAUCAUAAGUAGAAUUUUCGAGACUGGUUCUCUUUCAUCAUCUUGUGUUCGAGAUCCACCUAUGGGGAAUGACAUUUGGUCAUGACUCCUCAGAAGCAUCCAAGUGCACCAAGUCCAGCGCGUCCAAUGGUACAGGAGGCAUCGCCCUUGUUAGAGCCUAUAGGACGCUAUAGUGCUACUACUCAUCAGUUGACAUUCGCUUCUUGCGAUCAUCCAAACUGAGCUCACAGCCUCAAUCUUGCAUCUCACAACAAGAAACUUAUCACUUAACUGUCCGCAGGAGAACAUAUCCUGUGAUCGGCCUCUGCCGGACGUGAAAGGUUUGAGAGUUCGGUCAGUGCUGAUGAGCUCACUAGCUUGCUGCCCUCACAAGCUUCUGUAUCAGGCAGCCCAUGCCUUCGAUACACCCCCUUGCUCACGCUAACGCGGAACAGGACUGCUAGCCAACCACGCUAGCCUUCUAGUGCUUAAAGCCAGCCACCCACGAUGCCUUUAUUCGCUUAGCCAGCCUGCUAGCUCCCCGCUACAUGGCUUUUUCUAUUCCCGUCUCUCUUGAAUUCUCCGAAGAGCUGCACUUGCGAGCCUGCCCGGCCGCUUGCGGUGCUCUCAUCGCCGCCAAAGAUACCCAUCCUCUCUGUGUCAUGUGCUUGGGUUUUCAACAUGCCUCGACACUCCGGAGAGUUGCAGCCACUGCUUGGCUUUGCCCAGGAGGCUGCGGUGGCGGAGACUGAGAGUCACAGCUACCCACGGCAACAACCUUGGUCAGGAGGACUCUGAUAAAGAGGAUGACUGCACUAUGGCCCCUCCGACCCUGAGCAGGGCUGACCAGUCCGACCCAGACAUGUUGGGCCUUCCCCUCUCCCUCUCCGGUAUCCCUGUACUGGAGGAAGGGGCGCCUGAGUUGGAGCAUGACGACACGCCAAUUGCAUGUAAAGACUCAGGCGAGGAGGACGCCAUUCCUUCCGCCCAGUUAGCACCAGCUAUGGGGACGGCUAACGCCCAAGGAGCAGGAUGUUUACAGCUUUUCCCAGUCCUUCCCGCCUGUACUAAACACAUGGGGCACCAUUGGAAGGACACCUAUGACUUCAAGCUCGGGCUUUCCGGCCUAGAAGUCUAAGACAUGGCCGCCCAUGCCAUGGGGGAACCUCCAGCUGGCGAACCCUCCAUAGCUUGACACCUGAACCCCACGCAGGGAGGGCUUUUGGCACCACAAAAGCCCACUCUACCAAAUAAGAUGGACUGCUUCACAGCCUCCAUUCACCAGGCUUCUUACAGGUCCUCAACCCUCGCUAUUCGAGCCCUCAAUGUCUCCUCUCUACACUCGGUUUUCCAAGCCGAGCUGAUAGAGGACAUGGGAGGCAGCUCGAGAAGGGGAGCCCUUCCCCCAUACUGUGGCAAGAGAUUUUCACUGUUAACGACCUGCGGGCCCUGUGGCUUAAUCUCUCUGGUCUGCCCGACAGUGAGAAGAGGCGCAUCGCCUCCGGCUAUGAACCGCCAUGCCCAACCGGGUCAGGGCAGAGCCAAGCCCCAGGAAAACCCUAGGCUAGCAGGGUAACCCCCUUCCCAGGCCUUGGGGUAACAUGACCUCUGUGGCUGCAGUGAAGAAACCAUCACCCACCCCCGCUGACCCCAAGCGGAAGUGGCCUGCCUAAUCGGCUUCCCCGCUGGGGGGGGGGGGGGGCUAAAUCCAUGUUCUGGGGUGACCAGCCCCGUCGACACAUGUUCAUCUCCCCUCUCCAAGAAGAGGAGACUUCCAGUUCAGGGGGAGGGCCCCUUUCCCCCCAGGGAUUCCCACCCCUAUGUUCGCAGUGGUCAGGGCACCAGUUCCCGUGUCCCCCAGCCUCAGUCCUCUCUCUCAACGCCCAGAGAGGGAGACUCUGUUCUAGCCACACAGGUAGUGUUACCCACAUUCAGUGUGGAGAACAACGCCAGGCCAUUUCUAAUAAAGGCUUCUGCCCUGAAAGGCCAAAAGAAACUGUG